rnacentral:rRNA from 1 species
AUUGAACGCUGGCGGCAUGCCUUACACAUGCAAGUCGAACAGUAACGCGGGGCAACCUGGCGACGAGUGGCGAACGGGUGAGUAAUGCAUCGGAACGUGCCCAGUUGUGGGGGAUAACUGCUCGAAAGAGCAGCUAAUACCGCAUACGACCUGAGGGUGAAAGCGGGGGAUCGCAAGACCUCGCGCAAUUGGAGCGGCCGAUGUCGGAUUAGCUAGUUGGUGGGGUAAAGGCCCACCAAGGCGACGAUCCGUAGCUGGUCUGAGAGGACGACCAGCCACACUGGGACUGAGACACGGCCCAGACUCCUACGGGAGGCAGCAGUGGGGAAUUUUGGACAAUGGGCGAAAGCCUGAUCCAGCCAUGCCGCGUGAGUGAAGAAGGCCUUCGGGUUGUAAAGCUCUUUCGGCUGAAAAGAAAUCACACAGGCUAAUACCUUGUGUGGAUGACGGUAUCAGCAUAAGAAGCACCGGCUAACUACGUGCCAGCAGCCGCAGUAACAC